rnacentral:rRNA from 1 species
AUGCAGCGCCAAUGGAGAGUUCCAAACAAUGGAAAGAGGUGGCAGUCUUUGGCUGAGUUUGCAGCCAGCCUCAUCCACCCAUCCUACAAGAAAAUGAAGCAGAAGAUCAACAAUGAACAGGACCACAAACUAUGGGGGAUCAGCCCACUGGCAAAGCACCUCAUCGAGUACGCAGCGAAAGAUGCGUACGUCACCUACGAGGCAUGGAAGAAAAUCGAAACCACCAGAGAAGGUUUCAAGCAAUGGCGAGAGGCGGAGGAGCAUUGGGAUGACCCCUACUACUGGGGACAAUGA